CAUAAUUGUAUUUAUUAUCUUUAUUUUUCAGCUAUUACAGAUUUUGUAUGCCUUCAACAAGCUCUAGUACUACUAGCAAAGAAAAAUCUGGAGCACUCUCAGAACUAUCAUCCAUUCAUGGCAGUACUGAAAUAGAUGAGACCAAGAACAGACCUGAUAUGUCUACAUCAUUUGAAGGAGUCACCCCCUUACAAGAUGAUGUUACUCAAGAAGAGGACGUACCAUGUAAACCAGCUAAUUUUAAAGAGAGUGAAAUGAAGAUAUGAAUGGUUGUAGUGGAAGGUUGCAUCAGGGGUCAUACAAGCAGCUUCUGACCCUAUGAUUAACCAAUGACAUGUGGAUUACCCACAUCAAGAACUUGCCGUAACAGACUGUUUCAUUGAUAAUCCCUCACAUCAACCAGAUCGUGGGUUAUAUAACAACUCUUCCAGAUUCUAGUGUAGUAAAGACAAAUAAAACAAAAUUUUGAACUAUAAAAACGAAACGGAACAGGAUCUGUGUUUUAAUCAGAUUGUCGAAGGAUAUUUUGAUAGAAAAAAUUCGCUUACUGCAACAUAACGUCUCACUCAUCUCAGUAUCUUCAAGGCUUGAUCUCGCUAUAUUUCCUUACAUCUUAUCAAGGCCUUCACGUAAUACUCUGCACUAAUAUUGAUUGGGUAUUCACCCAUCUUGAGCGUCUAUCAGAUUCCUUGAUCAUAGCGAAUACCAAGUCUCGCACAUUCAAGCUCAAAUGUCUACCUGUGUUAAUCAAGUUGCAAAGUUCAAGUUUCGUUCAAAGUCAAGGUUUCUGUGGAGGUCGCUAUAUUUGAUUUGAGUGUGUUUGUGUCACAACCUCUGAUAGGGCGCUAUGUCUGCAGUAAAGGGAGAAAACGUACCUAUAAGUUCGGGAAUUGUGAAGCAAUCUAGCAACAUCCAAAUGUUGUAAAACUUGUAGUCGUUGCUUCAGGAACAAGUAUCUGUAGGCAUAUCAUCUACACAUUAGUCACAGGAAUACCAACCUGGCGCAGUUGUGAUUGGAUUAGGGGAUUGACUUUACUUGACUUAGAGAGAAAGAGAGAGAGAAAAGGGGUUUAACGUCCACUUGACACAGACUAGGUCAUUUCGGGACCAACAUAGGUUUUCAUUUUAUUUCAAUAAUUCGCUUGCGCAUAGGGGUCUUAGCAGUGGGAGGAAACAGGAGAAACCCGGAAAAAACCCACGAGGGUGGACAGGCGACCCUACUCCUUGUCACGUACAACCAGGGAUUCGAAACCACGCCAGUUGACUCAAUGACAGACUUUAUGAUACAGCUCGUGCAUGCUAACCAUUGAGCACUCCAACCACCUAUAGCCCCCUAUAAAAACCUGGCACAGUUGAGAUUCGAUUAGGGGAUUGACUUUACUUGACUUAGAUCUUCCAAAAUAAAUAAAACUGCAGGCAUUUUUUCAGCAACAUCCAACAAAAGUCUCCUACAUCCAUCUACGGAACUUCUGGCUCAUUUACCACUUUCUGAAAUUGUUUGAAAAUUGUGUUAGUAAUUUGUAAAUGAUUAUCUGCAUUCUCCUAUACUGAGUAAAUAUUUUAUAUAAUUAUUACCAGAGAUCAUCAUUUAUAUAUAUAUAUAUAUAUUUUUGUUUCUAUGUAAAUAUGGGGAUCAUGUGGCUAAGACGCUGGCUUACUAGCAUGAAGGUUGGGUGUUCGAUCCCUACAUUGGCCGAGAAAGUUCAUCCAGAUCUUCCGGCGUGGUUCCCCCUUGUCAGUGAUUCAGGACGGAGGGCCUGACAAGGACAGCAGUCUAGUCCUUCGGAUGAGACGGAAAACCGAGGUCCCGUGUACACAUUGGCAUGCACAUAAAAGAUCCCUUGACAGUUGGAAUUCGAAAACACCCACCAACCAAUCUGCCAUUGCCGAACACCUAUUUGAAAACCCGCGCCACCGAGUGAAGUGGACUAACGUCAAAAAGUUAGCUGUUAAUUGCCACUACAAACAAAACCGAAGAACCCAUGAAGCUAUUAAUAUACGCAGGCAUGAACCAAAACUAAACAGGGACCCAGGAAUUUACAUUCCAAGAGCGUAUGAUCGCAUCAUUAAAAUGUAGUUUACAUCGUCUCUGAACUAUCCUUUAAUUUUAAUAUUUGUAUUGCUUUUAACUUUGUAUAUCUCCUCAAAUCAAUUACAAUUUGCUUUACUGCAUAUUGCCUUCACUGUUAGGAUUAACUGCUUAUGGCUUCAGUUUCACUUCCCAUAAUACUUGUCCUUUCAUCUUUUAUUAUUACUUUCAUCUAUAACUAAUUACUGUAUAUAUAUAUAUAUAGAUUUAUUUAAUAUGUUUUUACAGUCAGGACCAGUUG